UACGAAGGGGGCUAGCGUUGUUCGGAAUUACUGGGCGUAAAGCGCGCGUAGGCGGCUUUGUAAGUUAGAGGUGAAAGCCCGGAGCUCAACUCCGGAAUUGCCUUUAAGACUGCAUCGCUAGAAUCAUGGAGAGGUUAGUGGAAUUCCGAGUGUAGAGGUGAAAUUCGUAGAUAUUCGGAAGAACACCAGUGGCGAAGGCGACUAACUGGACAUGUAUUGACGCUGAGGUGCGAAAGCGUGGGGAGCAAACAGG
rnacentral:rRNA from 1 species